rnacentral:rRNA from 1 species
CUUGCCCGACGCGCUGAGAGGAGGUGCAUGGCCGUCGCCAGCUCGUGCCGUGAGGUGUCCGGUUAAGUCCGGCAACGAGCGAGACCCCCACCCCUAGUUGCUACCCGGUCCUCCGGGGCCGGGGCACACUAGGGGGACUGCCGCCGUCUAAGGCGGAGGAAGGAGGGGGCCACGGCAGGUCAGCAUGCCCCGAAUCCCCCGGGCUGCACGCGGGCUACAAUGGCGGGGACAGCGGGUGCCGACCCCGAGAGGGGAAGGCAAUCCCUUAAACCCCGCCUCAGUUGGGAUCGAGGGCUGAAACUCGCCCUCGUGAACGAGGAAUCCCUAGUAACCGCGCGUCACCAUCGCGCGGUGAAUACGUCCCUGCUCCU